GUCUCCCAUCCAAGUACUAACCAGGCCCGACCCUGCUUAACUUCCGAGAUCAGACGAGAUCAGGUGCGUUCAGGUUGGAGAUAGGAAGAGCAAGCGAUUGAAAGUC